CCUACGGGAGGCUGCAGUGAGGAAUAUUGGUCAAUGGACGAGAGUCUGAACCAGCCAAGUAGCGUGAAGGAUGACUGCCCUAUGGGUUGUAAACUUCUUUUAUAUGGGAAUAAACUGUUCCACGUGUGGGAUUUUGUAUGUACCAUAUGAAUAAGGAUCGGCGAACUCCGUUCCAGCAGCCGCGGUAAUACGGAGGAUCCGAGCGUUAUCCGGAUUUAUUGGGUUUAAAGGGAGCGUAGGUGGAUUGUUAAGUCAGUUGUGAAAGUUUGCGGCUCAACCGUAAAAUUGCAGUUGAAACUGGCAGUCUUGAGUACAGUAGAGGUGGGCGGAAUUCGUGGUGUAGCGGUGAAAUGCUUAGAUAUCACGAAGAACUCCGAUUGCGAAGGCAGUUCACUGGACUGCAACUGACACUGAGGCUCGAAAGUGUGGGUAUCAAACAGGAUUAGAUACCCCUGUAGUC
rnacentral:rRNA from 1 species